ensembl:lncRNA novel transcript, antisense to TNK2
UGCCAGAGCUGGGAAGUGAACAUUCAGUCUACAAGAUACACUGCUCAUUCCCUCAGGACCAUGUCUACACCAAGACCCAGGAGCUGGGAACAUGUCACCUAGAGCAGGCCGCAGGGCCCAGGAGAGCCUGGGAGCCAGAGAAAUGUCCGGUGCUUCAAGACAUACACCUUAAAUCCCACUGGACCCUGCUCACCAUCUGACCUUGAAGAGCCCGGGACCCUCAAAGGGGAAGGGGCGUGCCUGGUCCAAGGUACCAGGAAGCUGUCAUCGGGAAUGGAGGCUCAUGGAGGCUCAGGAUCUGGGGGAGGGCAAAUGUUAGCGGAAGGGUGACUCUCUUCUGGCCACAGGGUAGGGGGAGAGCCCUGCCAAGGUCAGGGUACCAGAGAAGAGGCCCUGCUUCAUUGGCAGACACAGUGUACAGGGGACAGAGAGAAACAGAGGAGUCCAAUGUUGGCAGACACAGUAUACAGGGGACAGAGGGAAACAGAAGAGUCCAAUGUUGUUACAUCCAGCUGGGGGGCCCAGGAGGUACAGCUGCUGAGGAGGAAGAGAGGGACCAGGAAAACCUCCCUCCCCUCUCACCUUCCUUAGACACCCACCAUGCACCCCACAUGCCCACCCGAUGCUGGUUUCUGGGAGAAUAUGAAGGGGCAGAAGUCAUAGCCUGGGUCCUCAGGAAGACACUAUGCGCCAGCUCUUCACUGAGAGUGUACCUUCACUGGCUGACCAAAAACCUGCCUUACUACCCCAGAUUAUCCCCACUUUACAAAUAUGGAAACCAGCUCUGGAGAGGUGGCCAAGAGCACCCAGAGAGUAAAAGGUAAAGCCAGCAUUCAGCCCAUUCACGACUGUACUGCUUGGCACAAGGAUGCGGGCCCAUGGAGGUCCCCGCGGAAGUCUUAUGACCCACAUUGGACUCGCUGAGUGGAUACCAUGUCAUUCACUGACGCUGAGUGAAUGCAUGGAUUCUGUGAGGAAGUCUGAAGAAGGGACAGGGGUUCCAGGAAAAAACAGUAGAUUCCACACAGUGUCACUCCUUCCUGAAACCUCACCAGAACAACAAUUAAAAAAGGAUGUUCUGAAUGCCAUAGGCCCCUAGGGAGGGGGAGAAUGGUAGAGGAAAAACCACCACAGAACUUUGGAAGCUGGAAAGCAGAUGGGCUGGUGGCAGUUGAGAGCUGACCCAAGAAAAUCACAAAUCCCAGCGUGAGAGACACUUGACUGACCGCCUGCAAUCCUCAAAAGCCCAGGAACUGGCAGCCCCGGAAACCUCUGGAAGAAGAGAGUCGGAAUGCAGUGGCGCCAUCUCGGCUUACUGCAACCUCCACCUCCCAGGUUCAAGCAAUUCUCCCACCUCAGCCUCCCAAGUAGCUGGGACUACAGGCAUGUGCCACCACACCCAGCUAAUUUUUUGUAUUUUUAGUGGAGGCGGGGUUUCACCAUGUUAGCCAGGAUGGUCUCAAUCUCCUGACCUCGUGAUCUGCACAUCUCGGCCUCCCAAAGUAUUGGGAUUACAGGCGUGAGCCACCGCGCCCGGCCAGCUAACACCACUCUUAAUGGUGAGAGACUAAAUGCAUCCCCUGGAAGAUCAGAAACAAGGUAUCUACCCUUCUAUUC